AUCCAUAUUUCUUCAUCUCCAUCUCUUCCACCCCUAUCUUUCCCUCUCUUUUAUUCUCCUAGGAUCUCAGGCAAAGCAGCGAACGACACCGACCAGCGAGCAGUCGGCAACCGGGCGUUGCCUACGACCCUUUCUUCUUGCCAGAAAGCGAAGGCUGUGCCUAGCCAAUUAUUUGUUUCUUCCGAUGCAAACGUGUCACCGUCUUCAACUCAACCGCAACUCUAGUCAGUCUUCAUCAAGCCAGAUUUCAGGGUCAUACGGUAGGAUGCUCAAUAACAACUGGAAGAUUAAACACAAUACAACGUACAAAAGAUUGCAAGAAUUUUUUGAGGGCUAUACAUAUAUGUUGUUAAUUUUAAUUUGUAUUAUGUAUAAUGCUCAUUAUUAAAAAAAUUACUCCAUGCUAUUAAGUUUAA